rnacentral:rRNA from 1 species
UUCUUUAGUAGCGGCGAGCGAACAAGAAAAAGCCCAGCACUGAAUCCCGCCGUUUUAACGGCGGCGGGAGAUGUGGUGUUCGGGAGGUUCCGUUUUCUUGUGGUCGUCCACUCCUGUCCAAGUUCGUCUUGAACGGGGCCCAUUUCCCACAGAGGGUGCCAGGCCCGUAGCGACGGAGGACGACCGCGAGAGGGACUCUCCUCAGAGUCGGGUUGCUUGAGAGUGCAGCCCUAAGUGGGUGGUAAACUCCAUCUAAGGCUAAAUAUUACCGCGA